rnacentral:rRNA from 1 species
AAGGCCUUCGGGUUGUAAAGUACUUUUCAGCAGUUGAGGAAGGUGGAUAUGUUAAUAGCAUAUUCAUUUGACGUUUAGCUGCAGAAGAAGCACCGGCUAACUCCGUGCCAGCAGCCGCGGUAAUACGGAGGGUGCGAGCGUUAAUCGGAAUUACUGGGCGUAAAGCGCAUGCAGGUGGUUUGUUAAGUCAGAUGUGAAAGCCCGGGGCUCAACCUCGGAAUUGCAUUUGAAACUGGCAAACUAGAGUACUGUAGAGGGGGUAGAAUUUCAGGUGUAGCGGUGAAAUGCGUAGAGAUCUGAAGGAAUACCGGUGGCGAAGGCGGCCCCCUGGACAGAUACUGACACUCAGAUGCGAAAGCGUGGGGAGCAAACAGGAUUAGAUACCCUGGUAG